GAUGAACGCUGGCGGCGUGCCUAAUACAUGCAAGUCGAGCGAACGGACGAGAAGCUUGCUUUUCUGAUGUUAGCGGCGGACGGGUGAGUAACACGUGGAUAACCUACCUAUAAGACUGGGAUAACUUCGGGACACCGGAGCUAAUACCGGAUAAUAUUUUGAACCGCAUGGUUCAAAAGUGAAAGACGGUCUUGCUGUCACUUAUAGAUGGAUCCGCGCUGCAUUAGCUAGUUGGUAAGGUAACGGCUUACCAAGGCAACGAUGCAUAGCCGACCUGAGAGGGUGAUCGGCCACACUGGAGCUGAGACACGGUCCAGACUCCUACGGGAGGCAGCAGUAGGGAAUCUUCCGCAAUGGGCGAAAGCCUGACGGAGCAACGCCGCGUGAGUGAUGAAGGUCUUCGGAUCGUAAAACUCUGUUAUUAGGGAAGAACAUAUGUGUAAGUAACUGUGCACAUCUUGACGGUACCUAAUCAGAAAGCCACGGCUAACCACGUG
rnacentral:rRNA from 1 species